rnacentral:rRNA from 1 species
AACGUAGGAGGCGAGCGUUAUCCGGAUUUACUGGGCGUAAAGCGCGUGCAGGCGGUCGGGUAAGUUGGAUGUGAAAGCUCCUGGCUUAACUGGGAGAGGUCGUUCAAUACUACCGGACUAGAGGAAGGGAGAGGGAGGUGGAAUUCCGGGUGUAGUGGUGAAAUGCGUAGAUAUCCGGAGGAACACCAGUGGCGAAAGCGGCCUCCUGGCCCAAACCUGACGCUCAGACGCGAAAGCUAGGGGAGCGAAC